rnacentral:lncRNA from 1 species
GGAUUAGGACUAUACCGGUACAUGUCGUUGUCUGUGUUUGUGUCCGUGCUUUAUAGGUGAUACAUAGUUGAAUAGUAAAAUCUUUUUUUUUUUACAAAAGUUGAAUAGUAUAAUCAUAUAAGAUUAUGAAAUUGUAAUAUAUUGUUGAAUAGUAAAAUAAUAUAACAUUUUGUAAUACAUUGUUUAAGAAAACAAACCUGAAACCACAUUUUUUAAUUAGUUAAAGAUUAUAGGUAUUAGCAUGAUUGCACAAAAUAGUCUUUCUUAUUUAGGUAUUUACACAAACCCUAAUUUAAUUUGAUUGUCUUUAUCAUAGACAGCUAAAGGAAACUAGUCUACAAAAUCUUAUUAUUUAGAUUGUUUUCAUAGACAGCUAGAAGAAACAAAGAGCAGUAAAAAGAUAGAGGACUAGAUUCUAUUUUUGUUUUCAACAAGUUUCUUGCACGAUAGUUAACCCUAUUUGAGGCAUUGUGUUACACUAAAUGUGAAAUUUCGUUUGUGUGCACUCAAAACAUAUCAUGUAAUUACACACUCGGUACAUUCCUGGUUCUUCGAUUAAAAUCGGACAAGUCAAAUUUCAACCUCAAUAUUAUAGAUUUUAAAAUGUAUUCAAAACCUGCAACGUCCGAUCUUAAUUCAACAACUAUCGAUGUGUCAACUGUGUUAAUGCACGAGAUUUUGACUGCAUGCAAUCCAAAUCCCUAAAUGUGGAUAACUCUCUCCCUCGGAAUUCAAAUUUUAGUUCGCCACAUUAUGGGUUACUACCUAUUCGCUAGACCCAAUAUCGGUUAGUGGAAUAGUUCAUAUUCAAACAAUGGGUAUUACUAAGUAAAGUAGAACAAGUAACCAUUUUACGGUCGUUUCUGAAGAGAUUUGAACUCAAGUUAGUUGAAGUUAAAAGAUCAAACUCUUAUUACUGAUGUGACAUAUGAUUGAGAAAUAGUGUCUUAAAUAUAUUUAUAUAGACCUUCAUUAUUUAUUUAAAAGCACAAUACAAAUUUGCAUUCCCUUCACAAGAAGACAUUAUUUCUGAAAACUCAAACCUCAUCACAAUGUCUUGGUUCCUUACAAUUCUGUUUCUCAGUCUCACAUUUGGUACUAAUUUUUCAGAAGCAAACCAUGACAACAAGAAGCUUCUUCCUUCACCUGUUGUAGUUGGCACUGUCUACUGUGACACAUGUUUUCAACAAGCUUUCUCUCUAAACAGCCACUUCAUUUCAGGUAAUCCAUUUCAACCUCAAAAGGGUACUUCAAUUUUAUAUCUCUUAAAAUGUUGUAAAAUUUUUCUAAACCUUAUCAUAUUUUAUUUUGUCCUUGUUUUUAUGUAUAGGUGCAUCAAUAGCUGUUGAAUGCAAAAUAGGAAAAACAAAACCAAGAUUCUAUAAAGAAGUGAAAACAAAUGAACAUGGAGAAUUCAAAGUGAAACUACCUUUCUUAGUGAAGAAACAUGUGAAGAGAAUCAAAGGGUGUAAUUUUAAGUUGUUAAGUAGUAAUGAACCAAAUUGUGCUAUAGCCUCAACUUCUACUUCAUCUUCACUAAGCCUAAAGAAAAAGUUGCAACAAGAACACAUUUUUUCAGCUGGGAUUUUCUCAUUCAAGCCUAUAAAAAAACCAAAAUUUUGUGACAAAAAACAUAGUAUUCAUAACCUUAAGAAACAACAUAGUUAUGUGAAAAAUUUGGAACAAUCAAAAUUUUCAAGCAAAAAUAAAGUACCUAAUGAAGUUGAAGAUUUCUUCUUUUUUCCUCCAAACCCUUUUUUUCCACCACCUAUUAUCCCUAAUCCACUUCAACCUCCACCUUUGAUUCCUAACCCUUUGCAACCACCACCUUUGAUUCCAAAUCCAUUUCAACCACCAAGUCCACCCUUGAUUCCUAAUCCAUUUCAACCACCAAGUCCACCACUUAUUCCAAAUCCAUUUCAACCUCCUCCAUCAAAUCCACCACUUAUUCCUAAUCCAUUUCAACCUCCCCCAGCAAGUCCUCCACCACUCAUUCCAAAUCCAUUUCAGCCUCCACCAUCAAGUCCACCACCAUCAUUUCCUUUUCCACCAAUAGUAAUACCAGGUUUAACUCCAUCACCACCGCCGC